rnacentral:pre_miRNA from 1 species
CUUGUACUCCCUCCGUCGGAAAUACUUGUCAUUGAAACGGAUGUAUCUAGAUGUAUUUUAGUUCUAGACACAUCCAUUUUGAUGACAAGUAAUUCCGGACGAAGGGAGUACUUG